rnacentral:rRNA from 1 species
GAUGAACGCUGGCGGCGUGCCUAAUACAUGCAAGUCGAGCGAACAGACGAGGAGCUUGCUCCUCUGACGUUAGCGGCGGACGGGUGAGUAACACGUGGAUAACCUACCUAUAAGACUGGGAUAACUUCGGGAAACCGGAGCUAAUACCGGAUAAUAUAUUGAACCGCAUGGUUCAAUAGUGAAAGACGGUUUUGCUGUCACUUAUAGAUGGAUCCGCGCCGCAUUAGCUAGUUGGUAAGGUAACGGCUUACCAAGGCAACGAUGCGUAGCCGACCUGAGAGGGUGAUCGGCCACACUGGAACUGAGACACGGUCCAGAAUCCUACGGGAGGCAGCAGUAGGGAAUCUUCCGCAAUGGGCGAAAGCUUGACGGAGCAACGCCGCGUGAGUGAUGAAGGUCUUCGGAUCGUAAAACUCUGUUAUUAGGGAAGAACAAAUGUGUAAGUAACGAUGCACGUCUUGACGGUACCUAAUCAGAAAGCCACGGCUAACUACGU